UUGUAUUGUAUUGUAUUGUAUUGUAUUGUAUUAUAUUGUAUUAUAUUGUAACUUUGAUAAUUGUAAAUUUUCCGAGAUUUUGCAUCCGACCACAUUUUAUUCAAUGCAAAAUAUCAUUAUCACACGUAAUGACAUGAAUGAUACGGCCUCGCGAACUGGUUUGGCAUCACUGAGCUUCACUUACUUCGGCAUGAAAAAGAAGAAGCCUUCGUUGUGACAACUGUAGUUUAAGGCACAUCCGACACCAUUUCUGGAAUUGCAUCGGGUUUCUGAGAACAACUGGGAUUACAUUUAUCUCACAAACAGAAUUAAGCUGAAGAGUCAUACUGGUGCAGCCUAAUUCCUCUUGUCGUAUUGUCUUGUUAGGAGACUCCCAAUGGCUGUCGAUGCACUUUAAGUAGAAAUAUCUCGGUAAUGUGCCGCUCUCGUGCGGAAGGG